GACGAACGCUGGCGGCGUGCCUAAUACAUGCAAGUCGAACGAGAGCACCCGGUGCUUGCACUGGUCAAUCUAGUGGCGAACGGGUGAGUAACACGUGGGUAACCUGCCCAUCAGAGGGGGAUAACAUCCGGAAACGGAUGCUAAAACCGCAUAGGUCUUCGAACCGCAUGGUUUGAAGAGGAAAAGAGGCGCAAGCUUCUGCUGAUGGAUGGACCCGCGGUGCAUUAGCUAGUUGGUGAGGUAACGGCUCACCAAGGCCGUGAUGCAUAGCCGACCUGAGAGGGUGAUCGGCCACAUUGGGACUGAGACACGGCCCAAACUCCUACGGGAGGCAGCAGUAGGGAAUCUUCCGCAAUGGGCGCAAGUCUGACGGAGCAACGCCGCGUGAGUGAAGAAGGUUUUCGGAUCGUAAAACUCUGUUGUUAGAGAAGAACAAGUGCUAGAGUAACUGUUAGCGCCUUGACGGUAUCUAACCAGAAAGCCACGGCUAACUACGUG
rnacentral:rRNA from 1 species